rnacentral:rRNA from 1 species
UACCCGCAGCACAAGUGGUGGUCAUUAUUAUUGGGCCUAAAGCGUCCGUAGCUGGCCUGUUAGAUGCCUGGGUAAAUCGAUACGCUCAACGUAUCGAAUUCCGGGUAGACCGGCAGGCUCGGGACCGGGAGAGGUGUAGGCUACUCGAGGGGUAGGGGUAAAAUCCUGUAAUCCUUCGGGGAGGACCAGUGGCGAAGGCGCUACACUAGAACGGCUCCGACAGUGAGGGACGAAGCCCUGGGGCGCAAACCGG